rnacentral:rRNA from 1 species
UAAGGAAUAUUGGUCAAUGGACGCAAGUCUGAACCAGCCAUGCCGCGUGAAGGAUGAAGGUCCUCUGGAUUGUAAACUUCUUUUAUCUGGGACGAAAACGGGAUUUUUAUCUCAAUUGACGGUACCAGAGGAAUAAGCACCGGCUAACUCCGUGCCAGCAGCCGCGGUAAUACGGAGGGUGCGAGCGUUAUCCGGAUUUACUGGGUUUAAAGGGUGCGUAGGUGGGCUUAUAAGUCAGUGGUGAAAUCUCCGAGCUUAACUUGGAAACUGCCGUUGAUACUAUAGGCCUUGAAUUAUCUGGAGNUAAGCGGAAUAUGUCAUGUAGCGGUGAAAUGCUUAGAUAUGACAUAGAACACCAAUUGCGAAGGCAGCUUACUACAUAUAAAUUGACGCUGAGGCACGAAAGCGUGGGGAUCAAACA